AUACUGACACACACUGCAUUCGCUACACAUUAACACACUCUGCAUUCACUACACUAACACACACUCUGCAGAGUGUGUUAAUGUGUAGCGAAUGCAGUGUGUGUCAGUAU